ACAAAAAAAACACACACACAAACGAAGCAGAAAAGAUUAAAGGGGAAAAAAAAAGAAAACCAGAAGCUUCAAGCUUACUAGACUUGUUUAAUUGUUUUAGCUCUCAAAUCUGGCUUUCUAAAAUUCCCUUUUCUUUGUUUUUCUUCGAUUAGGGUUUCUUGAUUCUUCUAAUUAGGAAAUUUUAAAUUCCAAUUUGUUAUCGUUUAUUCUCUGCGUCAAGAGUCUCGAAAACCUUGAGAUGGCAACUCUAGUUGAUUCAUUUCUUGCGGACCUUGAUGAAUUAUCGGGCAACGAAGCCAAUGUUCUUGACGAAGAAAAUGAUGAUGUCAAAAUCAUGGAAGAAGAUAGUGAUGGUGACCUCGCCGGUUUUGAAGCCCUUAACUAUGAUGAUCUGGACAGCGUCUCGAAAUUGCAAAAAACUCAGAGACACAUUGAUAUAAUGCAGGCUGGGAGUGGCAAACUGCGUGUGUGAGUUGGUCAGAGCAAACUUGCGGCCAAAGUUGCUAAGAAGUUCUAGGAAAAGCAUUAUGGAAGCAGUGGUGCUGCCUCUGGACUAACUUCAAGUUUGUCUUUCACACCUGCGCCGGUAUUUAUCUUCUUCUACUUUGACAAUGAACUGACAGGAUUUUAGUUCUACACAUACAAGAUAUGAAAGAUUUGAGAAGUCUGCCUGCUUGGUUUUUACUAGGUGCAAGAAAGGGUUUAGCAUUUAGGACUCAAAAUAGGGGUAAACAGUUUAGGUUAAGGCUGUUUAAGUUGCUUGAAGCAGAGGUGAAGAGAUGAAAUUACAAAAAGAAAAAUCUGCAUAAGACUAUUUUUUUAGGUUGGUGAUUUUACAUUGUUGGCUUCAAUAAUGCAAAAGGGUUCUAGUGGAGGACCAAGGAAACGAGGGCAGGGUUUCGGUUAUUUUGAAGUAAGUGGCAUAUGUUAUAUGUAGUAGUAUGUGUGUAGGCAUGUAAGGAAUUUUAGAGGAUUUAUCUUUUAGCCUUAGAGAUGUGUAUGUAUUCUAUCUCAUAAUGUGGCUCUGUCUGUAUCUUGAGAUGUAAUGUUGUGUAACUUUGCUUCUUCUAAAAUUUAGAACUAUAGCUUUUGAUGAUUAUUUUCUCAAUUUUCCUUGGAGAGUAGGAGAGGGUUGGCAAAAGUCUUAGGUUGAACUUUUUAGAGGAAUCAAACAGUAAUGAUUGGCAUCUUUAUUCCUCAAGGGAUUGAGCUCACAAACCCUCAAGCUCAUGUACAUCAGCUUGGCAGUGGAACUCAAAGUACUUCUCUGAGACUGGAACAUUUUCAAAGAUCAAGAGGACAUGAAAGAAAACACUUGCUGACUGCCACAUCAUUGGAUGACAUCGGUCUAAUGAAAUCUAUGUAAAUUGUGAAAGCAUCAGGAUUACUCAUGUUUGGUUAUGCUGUAGUUUACCUAUUUCAUAGAGUUUAAUAGACUUCUAUAAAAACGAUAGCUACUUCAGUGACAUGGAAAGUUUGUCCUUCAUUCAAGCUACCAUUCAUUCUUUGCCAGUUAUCUUUGAAACACAUGUUUGUAGUCAUGCGAGAGAGAGAGAGAGAGAGAUCGUGCUUUGCAGUUUUGUUUUGUUUGAAUUUGUGUGUUUUUCUUUUGGAGAUAAGUUACUUGGUUUAUAAAAUUUAGAUGAUAGCCUGUUGAAUUUGCUGGGAUUUGAAUAUUUGAGCUUAUCUGUUUUGUAUGUCAGAAUUUGUUUAUGCAUGUGUGGAUCAGAUCGUAUGAAAUUGAUUGAACUGUUAAAAAGAAAAUUGUGUGAAAAUGAUUAAACUGGGAAUAGAUGGUGGCCAACGCCUACAUAUUAGAAUAUAUUCGAAAGGCUAAAGUAAUAAUGGAAAGUCUUGAUAAAGGAACAGCACGUAAGAUGUAAACUUCAUCUUCUGUUUAGCGAAAGGGACUAAGGAGCUUCAUAUAG